rnacentral:tRNA from 1 species
GAGGCAUAGCUCAGUUGGUUAGAGCGUUGCGUUCACAUCGCAAAGGUCGAGGGUUCGAGUCCCCCUGCCUC